ACGGGAGGCAGCAGUGGGGAAUAUUGCACAAUGGGCGAAAGCCUGAUGCAGCCAUGCCGCGUGUGUGAAGAAGGCCUUCGGGUUGUAAAGCACUUUCAGCGAGGAGGAAAGGGAUGUAGUUAAUAACUGCAUUCUGUGACGUUACUCGCAGAAGAAGCACCGGCUAACUUCGUGCCAGCAGCCGCGGUAAUACGAGGGGUGCAAGCGUUAAUCGGAAUUACUGGGCGUAAAGCGUGCGUAGGUGGUUUGUUAAGCAAGAUGUGAAAGCCCCGGGCUCAACCUGGGAACUGCAUUUUGAACUGGCAAACUAGAGUAUUGUAGAGGGUAGUGGAAUUUCCAGUGUAGCGGUGAAAUGCGUAGAGAUUGGAAGGAACAUCAGUGGCGAAGGCGGCUACCUGGACAAAUACUGACACUGAGGCACGAAAGCGUGGGGAGCAAACAGGAUUAGAUACCCUGGUAGUCCACGCCGUAAACGAUGUCAACUAGCCGUCUGUGACCUUGAGUCGUGGGUGGCGCAGCUAACGCACUAAGUUGACCGCCUGGGGAGUACGGCCGCAAGGUUAAAACUCAAAUGAAUUGACGGGGGCCCGCACAAGCGGUGGAGCAUGUGGUUUAAUUCGAUGCAACGCGAAGAACCUUACCAUCCCUUGACAUCCAGAGAAGAGACUAGAGAUAGACUUGUGCCUUCGGGAACUCUGUGACAGGUGCUGCAUGGCUGUCGUCAGCUCGUGUUGUGAAAUGUUGGGUUAAGUCCCGCAACGAGCGCAACCCCUAUCCUUAUUUGCCAGCGCGUAAUGGCGGGAACUCUAAGGAGACUGCCGGUGAUAAACCGGAGGAAG
rnacentral:rRNA from 1 species